ACAAGUAUGUAUAGCCAUUCCGGCGCAACGUUAAGUAAAAUGCUAGAAUGCCUCGUAAAUUUUAUUGCAAAUGCAAAUUGAGUAAUUUGUAAAUAAUGUGACAAUCUUUUUUGUGAUCAGACCAAUGUCCGAUCAAAAUUACUUUUGCUCGGACAUUUGCCAAAUUUAGUCGGACAUUGUCCGAUGUCCGACAGUAAUUUGCAGCCUUGGUAUGGGCAGCACUUUAGCAGGACAAUCCUGUAUUACAGUCGAUUUCAGUCGUAACAAUUAUAAGAACACCCUGUCAGUCACUAGACGCGGGUCUUGAAUCUAAUUUGCUCAGAGAUUGUAUUCAUUUAUUUUACCGGAGUGCAUGUUACCAUUAAUUCAUAAACUUUAAUUUGUUCCAGGAAUAGUAAAUUGCUGGUAGCUUUUAUAUUAAUGAUAACGUGGGUUGAAUUGUUUUGUUAACUGGACUGUAGUUGAAUUUCACAGACAAAUGAAUAAAUCGCGUCUUCAAGUCGUCGGUAAUGUUAAAAAUAAAAAUUAUUUCUAUAUUUCGCGUUUGCAUUACACUCAAUUAAAAGGC
rnacentral:lncRNA from 1 species